rnacentral:lncRNA from 1 species
UUUUGGAUCUUGGAUCAUGGUUGCAUCUUGGAUGAGGUUUAGAUCGUGGAUGAAGUUUGGAAGCUUUUUUUGGGUGGAAAGAUCCAAAUUUCCAAUUGGGAUGAAACAGAACUUGUGGAUUCUCCACUGCCAAACCCUGUAAAUAGGAAGGGGUGUGACAAAAUCUGACUUAAUUAAUUAAUUCAUUAAUGUGCUUUUUCAUUUUGCUGCUUUCCAGCCCAUGAAUUCCCUCUCCAGCUCUUUCCCUAAAAUCCUUUGGAACUGAUCCUGAUUUUUUUGUUUAUUUGCACUCAGUGGUGAUGAAACAUUUCAAGGCCUCUCCAGAAUUCCUAAAAAAAAAAAGGGAAUAUUUUCAAUUAAAGUCUGAAGUUUACACUUGGCUCUGUUGAGAGCAGGGAUUCCUAAAUUAUUGAUAUUCCAUAGGAAAAAUUCCCAUUUCAUCAAUCCCUACCUUUUCCAGCUAUUUUACCUCCAAGGAGCCAUUGUUAAAUAUAUUUUUUAAAUUAUUUUUUAGAUUUUAAAUAUUUUUGGUGUUGCUUUCAAAUCCAACACUUUCAGUGCAAUAUUUUCAAACAGUGAAGCUUCAAAUCCUUGGAUUCAGUGGGAAUUUUUCCCAUUUUUUUGGAAUCCAGCCUGAUUUUGGGAGAAAAAGACACCGAACCACGUCGAGGGUGUUGUUUGCAAGGUGCCAAAUGUGGAAAAAGGACCCAAAAUGGAGCUUCCGGAGACGUCGGGGAUGGCUCCCAUCUGGAACAACCUGAACUUCCCCAUGGAUCAUCAGAGGAGCCUGGAGAUUCCUGGAUUUGGGAAUUUUUCCUUACCCACAUCCUCUCCAGAGCCUUUCCAGCUCCCGGAGGGUUUUUGGACUUUUCGCUUUCCGGUGUUUCUCCAUGGAGAGCAGCGUGGGCACCUUGAUUUAUUUUUCCACCAGGAUCUGGGAUCCAGAUCUUUGUGGCAUUUCAAGAAUUCCAUCCCUGUGGCACUGAGAUCCUCCAAUUCCUUCAGGCUCAUCCCAUCUUGGCAUCAACCAGAGCAAAUUUUACCCUGGUCACUCCUUGAGCACGGGGACCACAUUCCAGGUGGAGGAAUCCAGGAUCUGGAGCCAAGGGGAAGUGAGCAGGAAUCUCUGGGAUGUCACCCCAAAACAGCAGCUCAGAAGGGUUUGGAGCACAGAAAAUGCUUCAGCUUGCUUCCAGCUGGGCUCCAGAGCUUCGCUUCCAAUGGCAUGGAAAACCAACUGGAAUACCAGAUAUAACACCUGGAUCUUUCUCUUCAUAAAUCCUGGGGAUGAUUCUGCUACAGAAGUUCACCAAGUUAUUGAAAAUAUUAAUUAUCAAUUUCACAUUACAAAUUUCAUCCAUUAAAAUAUCCAUAUUUGGGAGAACCUUUAUUUUUAACCUCUUUUCCUAUUUUUAAAGCAAUCUGCAG